UACGAAGGGGGCUAGCGUUGCUCGGAAUCAUGACUGGGCGUAAAGGGUGCGUAGGCGGGUCUUUUAAGUCAGGGGUUGAAAUCCUGGAACUCAACUCCAGAACUGCCUUUGAUACUGAAGAUCGUUGAGUUCGGGAGAGGUGAGUGGAAACUGCGAGUGUAGAGGUGAAAUUCGUAGAUAUUCGCAAGAACACCAGUGGC
rnacentral:rRNA from 1 species